AGGAUGUUUUCAUUGAUCAAGAACGAAAGUAAGGGGAUCGAAGACGAUCAGAUACCGUCGUAGUCUUUACUAUAAACGAUGAGGACUGGGGAUCGGGCGAGGAAUUACGAUGACCCGCCCGGCACCCUUCGAGAAAUCAAAGUGUUUGCUUUCUGGGGGGAGUAUGGUCGCAAGGCUGAAACUUAAAGGAAUUGACGGAAGGGCAUCACCGGGUGUGGAGCCUGCGGCUUAAUUUGACUCAACACGGGAAAACUUACCAGGUCAGGACAUAGUGAGGAUUGACAGAUUGAGAGCUCUUUCUUGAUUCUAUGGUUGGUGGUGCAUGGCCGUUCUUAGUUGGUGGAGUGAUUUGUCUGGUUAAUUCCGUUAACGAGCGAGACCUGGGCGUGCUAACUAGGGGCUACUACCAUUUUGGUAGUACGCUUUCCCUUCUUAGACGGACUGUGGGCGUCUAGCCCACGGAAGCUCCAGGCAAUAACAGGUCUGAGAUGCCCUUAGAUGUUCUGGGCCGCACGCGUGCUACACUGAGUGGAUCAGCGGGUCAGGUUGCGCGAAAGUGUUUCCUAAUCUUGAAAUCCGCUCGUGAUGGGGAUUGACGGUUGCAAUUUUCCGUCAUGAACGAGGAAUACCUUGUAAGCGCGGGUCAUCAUCCCGCGCUGAAUACGUCCCUGCCCUUUGUACACACCGCCCGUCGCUCCUACCGAUUGAGUGGUCCGGUGAGGCUUUGGGAUCUGAGCAAAAAGAGCGUUUCGCUGGUUCGGCCCGGAAAACUCAGUCGAACCUUAUCA
rnacentral:rRNA from 1 species